AAACAUAUUACCGAAACUGUGGAUGAACCUCUUCGGAGGUUCGUGGUAGGAGAGCGUUCUAAGGGCGGUGAAGUCAGACCGGAAGGACUGGUGGAGCGCUUAGAAGUGAGAAUGCCGGUAUGAGUAGCGAAAGAAGGGUGAGAAUCCCUUCCACCGAAUAUCUAAGGUUUCCUGAGGAAGGCUCGUCCGCUCAGGGUUAGUCGGGACCUAAGCCGAGGCCGAUAGGCGUAGGCGAUGGACAACAGGUAGAGAUUCCUGUACCAGUGCUAAUUGUUUAACCGAUGGGGUGACACAGAAGGAUAGGGAAUCGCACGAAUGGAAAUGUGCGUCCAAGCAGUGAGUGUGAGAAGUAGGCAAAUCCGCUUCUCGCGAAGCAUGAGCUGUG
rnacentral:rRNA from 1 species